rnacentral:tRNA from 1 species
GCCGACUUGGCGCAGCUGGGAGCGCGGUACACUGAAGCGUAUGCUGAGAUGUAAUGGUCACCUGUUCGAUCCAGGUAGUUGGCA